rnacentral:rRNA from 1 species
UACAGAGGUGGCAAGCGUUGUUCGGAAUUACUGGGCGUAAAGGGCGCGUAGGCGGCCAUCUAAGUCAGACGUGAAAUCCCCCGGCUUAACCUGGGAACUGCGUCUGAUACUGGACGGCUUGAGUAUGGGAGAGGGAUGUAGAAUUCCAGGUGUAGCGGUGAAAUGCGCAGAUAUCAGGAGGAACACCGGUGGCGAAGGCGGGUCUCUGGGCCGAUACUGACGCUGAGGAGCGAAAGCGUGGGGAGCAAACGGG